AUAUGCCUUAUGGUGGGGGACAACAGUUGGAAACGACUGCUAAUACCGCAUAACGUCUACGGACCAAAGGAGGGGACUUUUCGGAGCCUUUCGCCAUUUGAUUAGCCCAAGUGAGAUUAGCUAGUAGGUGAGGUAAGAGCUCACCUAGGCGACGAUCUCUAGCUGGUUUGAGAGGAUGAUCAGCCACACUGGGACUGAGACACGGCCCAGACUCCUACGGGAGGCAGCAGUGGGGAAUAUUGCACAAUGGGGGAAACCCUGAUGCAGCCAUGCCGCGUGUGUGAAGAAGGCCUUCGGGUUGUAAAGCACUUUCAGUUGUGAGGAAAGGGAUGUAGUUAAUAACUGCAUUCUGUGACGUUAACAACAGAAGAAGCACCGGCUAACUUCGUGCCAGCAGCCGCGGUAAUACGAGGGGUGCAAGCGUUAAUCGGAAUUACUGGGCGUAAAGCGUUCGUAGGCGGUUAUUUAAGCAAGAUGUGAAAGCCCAGGGCUCAACCUUGGAACUGCAUUUUGAACUGGGUAACUAGAGUACUGUAGAGGGUGGUGGAAUUUCCAGUGUAGCGGUGAAAUGCGUAGAGAUUGGAAGGAACAUCAGUGGCGAAGGCGGCCACCUGGACAGAUACUGACGCUGAGGAACGAAAGCGUGGGGAGCGAACAG
rnacentral:rRNA from 1 species